GACGGACGCUGGCGGCGUGCCUAAUACAUGCAAGUCGAACGCUUCUUUUUCCACCGGAGCUUGCUCCACCGGAAAAAGAGGAGUGGCGAACGGGUGAGUAACACGUGGGUAACCUGCCCAUCAGAAGGGGAUAACACUUGGAAACAGGUGCUAAUACCGUAUAACAAUCGAAACAGCAUGGUUUUGAUUUGAAAGGCGCUUUCGGGUGUCGCUGAUGGAUGGACCCGCGGUGCAUUAGCUAGUUGGUGAGGUAACGGCUCACCAAGGCCACGAUGCAUAGCCGACCUGAGAGGGUGAUCGGCCACAUUGGGACUGAGACACGGCCCAAACUCCUACGGGAGGCAGCAGUAGGGAAUCUUCGGCAAUGGACGAAAGUCUGACCGAGCAACGCCGCGUGAGUGAAGAAGGUUUUCGGAUCGUAAAACUCUGUUGUUAGAGAAGAACAAGGAUGAGAGUAACUGUUCAUCCCUUGACGGUAUCUAACCAGAAAGCCACGGCUAACUACGUGCCAGCCGCCGCAGUAA
rnacentral:rRNA from 1 species